UCUCUCCUUUCCCCACUUCUCUGUCGCCUCUCCUCCCGUGGCCUUCGGCCAGCCGCCGCCGCCGCCGCCGCGCGACCUCUGCUCCUCCCCGGCGUCGAACUCAGGCCGCCGCUCCGUCCCCUGUCCCCGUCGCACCUCCCCUCAAGCCGCCGGCUGGCCCUCUCCCACUCGUCCUCCUCCCUGCUCCCAUUCCUCCCUUGUGGGAACCCUAGCCGCUGCCCACUCCCACUCGUCCUCCUCCCCGCUCCCCUUCCUGGCGGCGCACCUGACCGCCGCGCGACCUCUGCUCCUCCCCGGUGUCGAACUCAGGUCGCCGCUCCGUCCCCCGUCCCCGUCGCACCUCCCCUUGAGCCGCCGGCUGGCGCUCUCCCUUCACCGGAGGAGUUGGGUGAGGCCGUGAGGAGCGGAGGCAGUGGCUUGUUGCAGACGCUGCUGCGGCUCCCUUUUCUUCCUCGCCAUCUUCUUCGCCUCCCUCCUCUGCACCCAAGUAAUGCGGCCAGCCCUCGUCAACCCCGGCUAGCGGAUUCAUUAGCCUUCUACUCCAAUCGCUACCCCGAGAUCCAUCGUUGUUGUGUUGUUGCUGGUGAGAGCUAGGAGGAAGAGAGGGAGGCAAAGGGAUGGAGAUAGACAGGGGAAGGAGAAAGGGUCUUUCUCUGUUGAUCUCCUUUUUGUGGCGUGGUAUGGCAGGAAAUUUAUCCAUCCACCCGUGGUGAGAACUUGCUGUCGCUGGUGCUAAACUGGUGUUGCUGCAGCAGACAAAUGCCAUGGAUCAAGUGCCAUUCAGAUGUUGCAGGAGUCAAGUGUGUGUAAAUCUUAAAGAUUAGACCAAUGGAUAUCAAAGAAAAGGAGCUCGACCAGGAGCACACCCUAUCAGCUUAAAUCACAAGGCAUGGAAAGUUAGUGUGUUCCCCGAAAUAUUGUUGGUUUUGUUAAAUAGAUGGCCCUCUUAGCAUGGCUAUGGUUAGUACUCAAGACAGUCUUUCCCCUCAAGAGAUCAUGCAAGAGUUUAUUUUGAAAAAUUAUGAUGUCUUACCCCUGAAGGAUUAUGAUGUCUUUCAAAUCGAUCAUGUUCUGGCUGUUAUGGCAUAUUACAGAUCAUACAUAGUCUCAUUUGCUGCAAGGAGCCUUAAGAAUGCCCUUGGUCAUAUGUUAAUAAAUUUAACAUGUAUUACAAAAAGAUAGCAUGUAGGUUGAUGAUAGUGUGUUUCAAAAUUGGUACUUAGAAUAAUAGUGUACCAUCAAAAUAAUAGCUUGGUCUUACGCUUACCAGGUCACCUGGUCUAAAUUCAGUGUGUACAUCACUUUUUUGUUCUCAGUAAGUUUCUAGCAUUUCUACAUGCAUUUCUUUGUAGCCUAGACAUAGUAAACCAUUGAUGCUAUUCCAAACACAAGCUCAAGCAAGUUCAGUAGAUUAUUAUUUUUUAUUAGUAUAAUCAGCAUGAGAUAGACCUUGAUUUCAUCACUUGGUUUACUGUCUGCAUAUUUCCAUGCAGGUACCAUUCAUAUCCUAGAAGUUGUAGCUUCCAGCCUUUUAGUAACUACACAAAACUGCCAAAGCUUCACAGCCAUCAUGGAAUCACCACCGGUCCUCCCUUGCUCAAGUCAUGGAGGGGCAGCCGGUACCGGUGGGUGAGGAGAUCCAUGACUGGACAACAUCAUGUUCUGUUUAAACCUAUGCCUCCCCAGGGAAUCACCACCGGUCCUCCUUUUCUCAAGUCAUGGAUGGGCAGCCGGUACCGGUGGGUGAGGAGAUCCAUGACUGGACAGCGCAGACGCCCAGAUGGCGAGGAAGACGAGUCAUCGUCGCUGCCAACCUCCGCCUCGGCCCCCACACCCCUGACGCGAGCUUUGCCUCCUCUGCCGCUGUUGCAUCUUCUCCAGUGCCUCCUCCCCAUCGGACUCGUCUGCCUCCCUGUCAUGCAGGUGCUCCUCGCGUGGCCAUGCUUUCAACCUCUCUCUCUGUCUCUGUUGUGUGCAUCUCCCUCAAUAGCCACUGGAUGUUUUAUCUGGUCCAUUGUGAGAUUUGCCAUACAUGAUUAGUAAUAAUAGUAUGUUAAUUUGAUGGGUAUAAGCAUUAGUGAGGUGAAAUAUAUAGAUUUUGGAUUGAUUUACAGGUUCUUCUAAUGAACACACUGAGAUGGGUGUAGAUUUUCUGUUCGGUAUGCAAUCAUAUGGCAAGUGUGUUUAUUUUGUUGGGCACCCGUGUCCUUUGCUCCAUGCAAGAAAUGUGAGAGUUGAGUUUUGGGUGAUUGUCUACAUAUAGUGUUCUUGCAUCUUAGUGUGAGUUGCGUCGGAUGGUAUUGUUUUCUCAAGGGAAUAAAUUCAUAUGCUUGGUAAGAAAAGGUUCAAUCUACAUGCACCAUGAGUUAAAAGAUAACUUUGAUGAGUCAGAUAGAUGUAGUAUGAUCCACAACCAUAGUUCUGAUCCACACAAUGCAUGAUAUUCCACUUUAGCCUGAGUCUUGUGGUUAGUACUUGCUACUUCUCCCUGAAAUAGAAUUCAUACCGACACUUUGUAUGGUUGGUUACAAAGAGCCACAACUGUACCAGGAAAUCUAGAAACCCAACUGGAUAUGCCAAAAAAUACCAAUUCCUAGAACGUCACAUAGUGAUUGAAUUUGCGGCAUUAAAUACAUUCACUGUGCUGGAAGUACAUUACCCUGUGUAUAGUACAAGGAGUACUCUAAAUAUCAGUAGUGUUAUGCAAAUGAAUUUGACACCGUCUCCACAUCAGGUCUAUCUUCUUAAGUAUGUCAGUCAAAUAAACAACACAUGUGCUACUCCAGGGCAAAGAGUGGUGCGAGCUAAUUUACAUAUUUUCCUAUGUCAUGAUGCACUUUCCUUAUACACACCAACUAACUUCAACUUUCCUAUGAACCUAUCAAAUAUGAAGUGUGUCGUACCGAGUUGGAUAUAACUAUCACUGCAUUUUAAAUAAGUUAGCUCUUUCUCUCUGGUUUGUUAGUUCUAUGAAAAUAUAUUGCUAUAUCUUAAGCCUGUUAUUUUAGUCUCUCUUUCUCUUUGGUGUCAUAAUGAUAUGAACUUAUAUUUUGCUGCAAGAUUAGAGAGAUUCUUUUUAAACUCAACCUGUGUCAUAAGCUACUUGGUUCCUUCUCAUUACUUGGAGGAUGCAUGGAUUGGAGAGAUUAUGGAUGAGGACUGAAUUAUGUGUUGCCAUGAUAUCUUUUAAUUUUGGUCAUCUGUGUAGCUAUGAUAUCUUAGAAGAGUCCCAGUGUGUA